GUAAGGUUGGCCGAGUGGUUUAAGGCGUCAGAUUUAGGUGAAGCUCAUUAACAGUGAGCAACACUAGGAGAUAUUCGUAAUCUCUAUYAAACAUUCUGAUAUCUGCGGAUGCGCGGGUUCGAAUCCCGUACCUUACA
rnacentral:tRNA from 1 species